AUGGGCGAGGCACUGGCCUUACGGUUUGUUCUCAGUUUGACUACUACAUUCGGAUAUAACCGUAUAGAGGUGAACUCCGACAACAUCGAGGUGAUAGAGACAAUGAAGAAUGGAGGUCGCUCUUUUGGUCCAUCGACGGCAGUUUUUGAUGAUAUAUAUCACCUUGUGUGUGAUUUUCCGCGGAUUAUUUUUGAGCAUGCUCUUAGAGAGUCUAAUUAUACUGCCCAUGAUUUAGCCAAACUACAUAGAAGUAAGGUGUGUGCGGGGUGGAUAGAAGAUUCACCCGUAAAGAUUGUUGAUACUCUUGUAAAAGAUAAUAUGAUGAUCAUCUUGCAAUAA
rnacentral:rRNA from 1 species